rnacentral:rRNA from 1 species
GACGGAGGGUGCUAGCGUUGUUCGGAAUCACUGGGCGUAAAGGGCGCGUAGGCGGCGCGGGCAGUCGGCUUUGUGAAAGCCCGGGGCUCAACCCCGGAAUGGCGGCCGAUACUCUCGUGCUGGAGGCCGGAAGAGGAGGGUGGAAUACCCAGUGUAGAGGUGAAAUUCGUAGAUAUUGGGUGGAACACCGGUGGCGAAAGCGGCUCUCUGGUCCGGUUCUGACGCUGAGGCGCGAAAGCGUGGGGAGCAAACAGG